rnacentral:rRNA from 1 species
AACGAACGCUGGCGGCAGGCUUAACACAUGCAAGUCGAACGCACCGCAAGGUGAGUGGCAGACGGGUGAGUAACACGUGGGGAUCUGCCCAAUGGUACGGAAUAGCUCCGGGAAACUGGAAUUAAUACCGUAUGUGCCCUUCGGGGGAAAGAUUUAUCGCCAUUGGAUGAACCCGCGUCGGAUUAGCUAGUUGGUGAGGUAAAGGCCCACCAAGGCGACGAUCCGUAGCUGGUCUGAGAGGAUGAUCAGCCACACUGGGACUGAGACACGGCCCAGACUCCUACGGGAGGCAGCAGUGGGGAAUAUUGGACAAUGGGCGCAAGCCUGAUCCAGCCAUGCCGCGUGAGUGAUGAAGGCCUUAGGGUUGUAAGGCUCCUUCGCCGACGAAGAUAAUGACGGUAGUCGGAGAAGAAGCCCCGGCUAACUUCGUGCCAGCCGCCGCGGUAA